CUUCCCUUCCUCUCAUUUCCCAUCUUUUUCCCAUUCCCUACCCUUCCUCCUUCUUCUCCCCAGAGUUCUUUUCUUGUUUGUUAGGGUUAUAUAUCUCAGUAUUGGCCAAUACAUACCUUCCUAUAUUUCUUCACCAACACACAGCAUGAACGGUAACUAAGUGAAAGGAUGAUAUAGAAAUUUCAUGGUCACAGAAACACUUGGUCAUUGGCUCAAGAAGAACAGACUUACAGAGACAAAUGUUCAUUUCUUAUCAACCAACACUGAACCACACUAUAAGUACUGAGGAAGUGUCUUGGAUUUUUACAGGCGACUUGUGUAUUUCACAACCAUUUAAAAAAUGAUGGCAGAGACACUAGACAAAACUUGUUCAAGAACAAGUUCACCGCAAAUAUGUAUUCAUAUUUUAUCCAGACUGCUAUCAAAAAGUGCUUCACCAAGCAUAAAAAUGAAUUGCAUUUACCAACAAGAUUUUAUAGCAGUAGUACCUCAAAAAUUAACUUCUCCUGUCAAACAUCAGCACACUAACUACGGGAACACUUUUCGUCUUUUAAUAAAUUACAGGGUUCAUUACACUCAAGAGUACAGAUCAAUUAUUAAAUCACGAGUGACAAUGUGAGUCAUCAGAAAUGCUAUGAGCUCUCACUCUAACAUGUCAAAGAAGCCAUAAAACUCAUGUCAUUUGUAUCAGACACCACAUGUUGCAAAGGAGCUUGCAGAAUACAAAAUACAUAACAUACGUGUACACUCAAUUAUUAGGAACUAAUUUGUGUGCAAAAUGAGUAACUGUAAAAAUAUUCCUAUUUAUUGAUCGAUUUUUUUUCCACUAUUAAGCUGACUACCUCCCUACAGAUUUCAGUGUUAAAUGUAUCAUAAGUUAAUAAAGCUUAUUGCAGUUUUUACAGUAUUAUCAGAAUACGAAGACCCACAGUCAUCAACCAGGCCACUGCCACAGUGGCACAAAAAAAUGUCCCUGCCCAGCAAGGUCCUGCUCUGUUUACUUAUAAUUCAAGUAAGUAGGAAACAGGAGUAUAAAAAGAGUGGUAUAUAAUACAGUUAUUCUGUCAUUCUUUUUCACUCUUUUGCUAAGGUAGUAAUAAUUCCUGUAAUACAUUGAUAUACUUCAUUGCACUACCUUUGCUGACUUCAAGUUUGAAAGCACUGUAAAUGGUUUGCAGGAUUACACCAAUAAUCAUACAUUACAAUAGGCUCUUUCUUUAGUUAGAAGACUGAAAUAACAAUAAUCUUUCCAAGGAGCCAUUCUUGGGAGAUUUCCAGCCUGACGUCGCAGACAACUAUAGUUCAUGCAGCUCAAAAAAGUCUUCAAGCCUUUUGAAGCCUAACUAAAACAUCAGAACCUUUUGGAUGUUCCAGUAUCCUGUAACUACAGCACAUGUACUAAAACUUAAUAACACAAAAAGUACUUGAAUUUAUUUGAUGCACAUGGGAUCUUCUUGAGACCCAUGCAAUACAGAUCAUAGGUUCUUGUGUAAAGAUAAUGCAAUAAACAGCUCAACAAUUCUUUAGAGUGGCUUUUGUGCUACUUGCAAGGAAUCUGUUCUUCUGUGUCCCUCUUGCACUAAAGUAAGAAAAUAAAAAAGGUUAUUUUCUUUAUCAUCUUCACGGUAUUAGAAAAUUCUCUUUCAAGGGCCACGUGAAGGAAGAAGCUGCAAUGUAUAGCCUGAGUUUAUUAAGAGAUUAGACUCUGAUGGAUGUCACCAUGAAAAAAUGUAAAGUAAAAGCAUCACAAAUGGUUUGCAAUGACUUUAGGAUAUCCAUUUAUUUUUAUUUUCACUUGAGAUUCCAUCUAAGAAAGUAGGACUUAUGUGAAUAUAUGACACACACAGGCUCAUACAAAAGCAAAUCUUGAAGCUUUUUUAAUACAGUGGUGGAUAGUAGCAUUGUUCAGCAAAGAUAUUUUCUGUCCCUUAAACAACUCUCCAGCAUACAAAUCAUUACUCAAAAACAUAAAAAAUAAAAAUAAAAAAAAGUUUCACUGCUACUCUGAGACACUAAUGGUAUUUGUGUAAUUAUUUAUAUCCUGCACAUCACCUGCAGUAUCAAAGCAUUACUUAUCUAGAAUUGCCUCCUAAAUUAAGGGUAAUGUUAUAUAUCUAUUGUCACAGCAUAAUUCUGACUGGGGACAAAAAAAGCAGAGCAAAGCUGUAGAUUGAUGGAUCUAUAGUCUUGAACAUACACAACACAUAUUGGAGAGAUGGCUAAGAAACACCAUGUGCUCUCCUGAGCACUCAGCAUGCAAUGAAAGAUGCUUUUGAUGGAGUUUUAGCCUUAAACCACAUCAGCAAGACUAUUUUAUACAUUUAAGUGUAGCCAGGGCAAACAGGAUGUGAAGUCAGCCUUCAACAUCAUAGACAUAUCAAAGAAAGAGGCAGCACUCAAAAGCUUCUUUGAAUGAGGCAACUCAUUUUACAGUUAGUUAAUCUAAAUUAUUAUGAUCAGUUAGCUGAGACCCAGUUUUUUUUCCAUAGAGUACAAAGUGCGUCACAUUUCAACUAUACAAAUGUAUAUACAUUUGUGUAAGAAAAAUGUAAGAGUUUCGUGCAUAUAUCUUUCCUAAACCUAGCUACAAGCAGGUAGGUAUUCCCAGAAAGAUCAUAAAGCUUGGGAUAUACCUUAAGAAAUGCCUUUUUCACAUUUCCCGUCACUUUCCAGAUAUAAAACAAAACAAAACAAACAAAUAACAAACAACAUCUGCCGUAAAAAACAAAUUGGGUUGGGGAAAGGAUUCUUUAAAAUAUGCUCUUUUUUUAACGUGCAGUGAUUAUGUAGUAGGAAAAUUUGUCAUGAAUGUUCUCAUCUAGCAAAGAAAAGUCUCUUUCACUUGGUUUCAGCAUUCCUCUCCUCACAAAUACAGUGACAUUCUAAAUCAAGUAAUGCUUAACGACUUCUUCCCAAACUGACUAAAACUAAUUAUGCAUUCAUAAUUUUCAGAAAGAAAAUCAGUGUUUUCAGUGAAAUUUCUGUUUUGAUACUUAAAAAUCGUGUCAUCUCACCAUACUUUCUCCAACAAUAAAAUUUUCCUUGAGCAGGUGUCAACAUCAUCUCAAUAUUUUAGCAACAGUUAAGAAACACUUUUCAGUGGAUAAGGGAUCAGAAAAGUAAUCAAAUACAAAAAAGUAAGGCUAUGCACUAUGCAUAAACUUUUGAGACAUGCAGUGCUGUACAAAGUAUAUCAGUUCACAGUUCAAGAUGAAAACUUAAAUAAAUAGCAACCGAACAAGUAGUUUGCUGUACAUAAGAGAGUUCUUUGUGCUAUUUUGUGGGGAAAAAGAAAAAAAACAACCUCUUUUUUUUUGAGCCCGAGACAGCCAGUCAAGUAACACAGACUUUCAAGUAACAUCUAACCAGGAUACCUGACCCAGUAACAUUGCAUGAAAAAAAAAACUCCCUGUGGCCAACACCUAGAAAGCAAAAAUACAUGAGGAUUACAUCAAAAGGAACUGACCUAUUUUUUUUCCCCUCUACAUAAGCUUAUUCCCUUUAGAAAUUAGCAAAAUACUACCCUAUUCAAAAUUAGUAAUCAGCAGCUGCAAGUCAUCAAGAUUUCUCCAGUGACUCCCCCUUAGAUGGCUUAUUCUUUGAAGGGAAAUCCAAUUUCAAUCACACAUUAAACAGUUCCUCGUGACCCCAUUGGGCAUUUUUGAAGAGCUUCCCCUGCUAUCAUCAUGAGAGGUGUGGACUUCAAAAUCCUGAUGGAAUUAAACCCAAAUUCUGAAUCGCUUCUUCAAGCAGUUGUCUAUAUACAACGAAGGAUUAACAUUGUUUUACCACAUCUCUGUGGCUGGGAGGCCGGUGUGCCUCAUCCACACAGCACUCACAGUCCCGCCAGCACACCACAGCCACCCAUACACAGCUGCCUCAGUGGAAAUAUUUGAGCAGGCAUGGGCAAGCAUGAGGCAAGGACUCAGAUGGUACGCCGAGCUUGGAGGGCGAUGGGCAGCCUGCAGGGGAUUGCUAGGCAACCCAGGCCUGCUACUGACCCCAGCGCCUUCGCCACAGUUAGGGCUUUUGAGGGAGAAAGGACCUUUCAGCAGUCUGUGCAGAGCCCUGUAAAUGUAAAGCCCUGUUACUGUAAAUAAGGGAUAAUAACAGGGUCACCCUAUGUUCAGAACACUCAUUGGAUAGCUAGAUGGGUUUAUUUAUUUAUUUAUUUGGUUUUAUUUUAAUGGAGCUGACAAAAUCUGGCAACAAUGCACUGUGUAAAAAGUGACAUUUUGACUCUAAGGGAGGAAUUAUUUGCAAUUUGUUUUGAACAGAAGCUUAGUUCAUGUCAGAUGUGAACCUCCAGACAAUCAUUAGUUUAAACUGCCUGCUAUGUGUUUAAAAAUUUCAGUCAAUUUAUAACUGAUCUGAAUUGCAAAUGAGAUGGUAAUAAGCCAUUAGGGAACAACAUAUCUCUUUUUCACACUCACAGCCCUCUGCUUUAAGGGGCUUCAACUGCUCUGAAAUAUGAAAAUACCAUUUUAGUCAUGCGCAGUAUCAACAAACAGGGAUAAUUUUGAGAUGCAGAAAUGGAGUUUCUUGGAGAAUCACUUGGAGAAGACUGGCAGCUGACACAGGAGCAAAGUAACAUGGAGCCUGAGCUGUGAAUAGCAGGCAGUAGUCAGCUGCCCGAAGAACAGAUAGCCUGAUUUGCUGAUGGCACUGUAGCGCCUGGUAUCUGACAAGCACUUGGUUACUUUGGUUGCUGACUACGGGAUCUGAGCUAUUUCUUAUCCUCUGUGAAACCACUUUUGUGAGUGAACAUAGGCUUUGCACUACCAAAAUAUCUCUGUAUAGUUACUCACAUUUCCUCAAUACUAACUACUGAUUCUCCUGUGUUCAAAGGAGUAACAAGAUGAAUUUUUUUGUCAUCCUUGUUCACAUGUAGGCAUCCUUUAAAUACAAUUAUAACCUGCACAACUAAACAUAGAGCAAAUGUAUUAUAGAUGAUAGCAUUAAGCAUCAUGGCUCUUGUCUCGAAUAUUUCUUCCCACUGAUUGUUAUCAUGAUUUAUAUCAUCAUAAAUCGCCUACUGAUUUAUCAUGUCUCAUGGAUGAAAAAACUAUCUUUACAUAUCCCUACUGCUACUUUAUAGCUAUAUAGCUACUCUUAAGUACCUGCUAUUAUUUGUUGAGGUUGAUUGUUUUUUUUUUUUUCACUGACUAAUAAAAUUAGUAUCCCUUAUAAAAUUAAUUUAUUUCAUUGUUUCUCAAGUCUGCAACUGAGUCUAACUGUAUGCCUGACUGUACUAGAUGACAAGAAAUAUAAUCUCUACAUUCAAAUAGAUUCACAUACAGCUAUGAAGGAGGGAGAAAUUCAGAUUUCUAAUGUGCAUCUGUGGAAGUGAGCACUGAGGACCACAGUACCAGUGUCAUUGAUAUUCCCACACCAUUGGAUACUCUUGCAACCUUAGAGGUGAGUUAAUGAGGCUCUGGAACACAUUCCUCCCUGAAGCUAUAUGUAUAAAUACAGCUCCUGGAGGUUUUGUUUCUAGACAGUCUCUUUGUUGAGGGGAGACUAGCCCAGAGAUGCCUACAGCAGCCUGUAUAACUAUAACCACUUUGCAGUCUUCCCCACAGGAGGUCCAACAAACCAAAAUGCUGUUGUGUUAGCAUAUAUGCUGGACUGGAUUUCUGCAGAACGCUCCUUCCUUCUUAAGAGAGCAUUAAAGUGGAUAUUCCAUCAAUUCUUUCACGGCACAUCCACUCAAUCCCCUCUGCUUUUCAGAGAUAGCACCAUAAAAUUGCUGAUUGCAGGUGAACGUAAGUAUUACACCACAUCUCAGCUUUUCUAGGGAGUUCACAACAGCUCCUGUACAGCUGGCAAUAUGCUAGAAAGAGGAUUGCUUGCUCAGUACUGUUAUUGACCCGCUGUACAGCAGAAAGGAAAUAGGCAAGGUCAAAUAGGUCAAAGGUAGAAUGUUGAGGCAGAAACUUGCCUUGCUUAAGAAAGGUAGAAGUAACAUGGAGAAAACGACUUGGGUAAAACCAUGGGAUUAGAUGACUGUUACAGGAACUUGAUUAACUACUAGGACUGAAAAAUAAAUCCUCUAUCUGUAUCUCUCUGCCUCAAACAGCACAAAUCUAAAACAAGUAUAACAAGGACUGAUUCUACUGAGAUGGCUUUCAUCAAACCCUAAACUAUGGUGUACUUAUGCAUAUAAAAACAUAAAUGCAUAUAUGAUUCCAUUUUAACACUAACAAGAAUUUCUACUGUAUAAAUAUUAAAACCAAAGGGAAAAUAUAUUUUCAAUAUUCUAAUUUUUGUAUUAAAAAUCUGUAGUAACAUGAAUAAACCCCAGACAGGGAAAAUCUGAGUUUUUGUUUUGUAUUACUUCAAGAACAGAUGCACUUAAAACUACUCAAGCAUAGAAACUUCACAGAUAAUUCUCAACCACUGAAAGUAAAGAAUUCCAAAUUCCCAAUUUCCCGGGAGCACAACAGAUCAUUCAUCUCCGUCAAAUCCCCAUGAAGUAAAUUAAUCCUUUCCAAUUAUCCUUGCAAUGCAUAUUUGGGAUAACAGUUCUCUACUUUGAAAUGUACAUGAUGUGUGGAGCUUCCACUCAUUUUAGUGAGAUAAAAAGCACAUUUCCAAUUUGGAUCUUUGAAAAAGUCUGACAUUCAGUAUUUAUUAUAAUAACAGAGAUUAAGAACAGUCCUACUGAACACUAAUAUUUAAAGACAUAUUUCUUUCAGAAGUGAUAUUACAACACAGGACAAUGAACACACUCCCAGAAGUAUAUACUUCAAGCAAAAAAUAUUUCCUGUGAUAAAUACAGAAUUAAAAAAGGUAUUACAUGUUAAUUCAGAUGGAAAUGGAGUAGUUACAUACUUUCAAAUCUAAACUCCAGCUAUUUACAAUUUCCCCAGCAAUUGCACAACAAUAAGAAAUCUGCAUUCAAGGUUUUCUGUCAUCACAUUGGGUUUGAGAAAAACAGCACACACACACAAAAAAAAGAUCAGAAUCCAUCAAAAUUUUGUAAGAGAAAAAAUGUGGAAAUCCUUUGCUCUCUGCUUCUUUCUCAGUGACAUUAGGCUAUUUAGUAUUUUUGUCUCCAUAGAUCGGGUAUUCAAUAUUAAUUCCCUCAAUUAUUCUGGUAAAGUCAGUACAUGCCACAGUGCAUGCUUUAAAUGUAUUUUAUUUUCCAUACAUCAUUUUCUUCAUCAGCAUAAAUGGGUUCUUGCAUGUACAACCUACCCCUUGCAUGUACACCUGAACAAUCUGGCAGUUCAAAUGCGUAUAUUAUGUAGGGAAAGUGUUAAAAUUUACAUAUCUGUUCCAUUUAAAUUUGAAAACUGACUUCCAUGGGGAAGGUUCUUAUCCUUAUUUGACAUGUGGCACAGGCCAAAGAUCUGCAGUUGUAUCUACUGAAAGGAAACCAACACAAACAGUGAGAGAGAAAGAUAUGAGCAAUUUGGGUGAUGUGAUUUCUUGGACUUUCAGUUGUGUGUGUGUGAUUGUCAUAUACUUUUGUGUCAGAUAUUUGGCUAUCUAAAUAUUUCACUUUUCACAUGACAUAGUCCUAAGAGCAUGUAGUAUAAAUCACUUAUGAGAAGAUAGUCAUGUGAAUGGCAUCUCACAGACAAACAAUAAUUUCUAAGUUCUAAUUGAACAUAAUCCAAACACAGAAUAAUAUUUUGUUUGGUUAAAGAAGAAUUCUACAGGAAUCAAAGGCUUAGCCCUACAUUCCUUCCUUAUGUCAAUAUUCCUAUUGAAUUCAAUGGGGUGCUUUAUGUAUAUUGCUUGCUCUGAAAGUAAUUCCUCCUACUUAUUUCCAUGGAAACUACAAUGGAUACAAAGAGCACAAUAACACUAUUUGACAGAGCAGAUUCUCGGCUACAAAACACUAUUUUUCAACAUAAUCACCACCAUGAGAUAUGCAUUUUUACUGUGAUGAACAAGAAAUUACAUGCCAUAGUCAUAAAAAUCUGCACCAGCAUAGGUGAGCCACCGUUUCUGUUGCUACUGUUGAAAUGCACUACCCACCACUGUGUUCAUACUCACUUCUUAGUCUCCCUAAACGUUCAGUAAGCACUGAUGAAUGUCAAUAGGUGAAAUUUUUCCACAUGGAGUAACGUAAAGCACACCUUUUCUUUAAACAUUAUUUCUAUAUGUCGUAGUUUUCAUGGAAACAAAUAGGAGGCAUUACUUCUAGAGCAAACUAUGUACAUGCUUCAAUAUGGCUGGAUUUACUACCUACAUGAGGUUCAACACGGAGGUUGUUCUCCAUAUUGAUUAUCAAAUGAAACUGUAACCUAGGAUUAUCCACCUUUGUCUUGUGCAAAUUCUUUUGGCUAGUGGCAAUGAUAUUAGCAUGCCAUAGGAGAGCAGUCUAUAAAGUUGCCAGGAGGUACAGAAGAAAGAUAUUGCAGAGAUAACAUCUCGGGGAAAAAUAGGAGAAGAUAGGUCUUGGUGAUAUGCAAAUCAAGCCUUGAGAAACAGUCCACAGUGAAGGUUCCUGCAGGGAUCUUUUAAAUAGAAAUGAUUUUUAGUCAAUAUAGUCAGAGUUCAAAAUAAAAGAAUUUGGCCCUUGACUCUAAAUCUGGCUGAUUCAUUAUUAAUAGUUAUUUAAGAAGUUUUCUAACCAGUAGUUCAAAGUACAAACCUAUUGUAGAGAUAACAUCGUACAAUAAUAAUAUACAUUCAGUAUUUUAAAAAGGUUUUUCUAAACACAGAACAUGUAAAGAAAAGCACUAUAUACUGAGAUUCAUCCAAAUUCUUGCAAAGAGCAGAAUAUUCUUAUCCUAACAUGCCCAGAGGGAAAACAGAAAUUUUGGAGCAGAAGUCCAACCUCUUACAGCAUUGCUGUUCAGUUUUCAGUGAAUCCAACUGAAGCCCAUCCAAGUUGUCUUGUUGCUGAAUCCAUGCUAUGUUUGCUAUGUUAGACUGAACUUGUCAUCCUUCCCUUAGAGUUGGAGCUGAAUGUGGAGUUGCAAACAAGAGGUAAUACAUAAACAAACUUGAACUUGAGCAUAUGAAGCUUCGUACUAACAUGCAGAAGAACUUCUUUAUGGCAAAGGUGACACAGCAUUGGAACAGAGAUGUCCAGGGAGGUUGUGGAGGCUCCUUCUAUGGAGACAUUCGAGACCUGCCUGGAGAGCUACCUGUGAGACAUAUUGUAGGGUAUCUGCUUUAGCGGAGGCGUUGGACUUGAUGAUUGCUUGAGGGCCCUUCCAACACCAGUGAAUGUGAUUUUCUGUGAUUGUGUGAUUGAACAAGGCUGCAUAAGGUUUCCACAAAAGAAAGACAGAAAUGUCAAGGCAGUUGCUUCCUACAGCCACCACCCGGAGGCAGGAAAGUGGGAAUCUGCAUGCAGUGUCUCCUACAUGCAUAUCUACAAAAUUCAAUCCAGCCCUCCAUUUUCCAUUUUCUCAAAAUGUUUUUGUAUUCAUUCAAAGAGUGAGACAUGACAGAAUGCAUGUGGAUAUGAGAUAACAUGUGCCUCAGGGCUAGUAUCAGGAGGAAGGUGAAGGCAACAACCCCAGACAUGAAGGUGAAGACAGUGAUGCAAAAUGCAGUUCAUCUCACAGCCGCACAAACCUGGAAGCCUCAUUACUGUGAAUAUAAGUCUUGAAUGAUCAAAAAAAAAAAAAAAAAAGGAAAAACAUAAUUUCCCUGAUGACUGUGUAAUGUUCUAUCUUCACUGAUACAAAACAUAACACAAAAGAAGUAAAUAAAAAAAUAUGAAAGAAAAUGCCUUUUAAGAUAUGUGGAUCAUUAAAUUUGCAGAAAGGAACAGCUGCAUUCCUGGAUUGCAGUGUUAUCAAAUGACUGCUCAGAGGCAGAUUGCAGUGUGAAGCCAUAAUGCCUCAGUGUAUGACAUUGUGGUCACAGAUGUCCUUUGCUUCAUACACCUUGCUGAAGUGGUUUGCAGGUGGGAUUUGCUUUCAGCUGAUUUUUAUUUUCAUUCUCUUUCAUUAAUGCAUAAUACUAAACUGACUUCUUGUUUGCCUAAUGUGUCAAAGCUUCCGACUUCUCACAUGCGCACAGCUUUCCCCUCAAUGUCAUGACAGUAUUUAAGAAACAUGGGAUUGACCCAGAAAAAAGAGCUUUUGGGAAUAAACCAGAUAUUUGUGUUUUUGAAAGUACUUCUGCUUCAGAGUGAAGUAUCAAGUCAUACUGGGACUAAUUCCUGUGGUGGAUUUUAACACUUCAUUGAUCUAUAGACAGAUCAGUCCUAACAGGUUGGUAUUUACAAGGUUUUGUUUUGUUGUGUUUUGUUUUUAUUUAAUUGUUUAGCAAAAUACAAGCUUGUACAAAAGAUGAAAAUCCAUUUCUACACAGAUUGAGAGCUCAACAGCAUUGGCCAUUCUGUAGCUAGGCUAUGUCUGAUAAAUAGAAUAUACCUAAGAAAAGGGGAAUGUGAUUUGAAAUAUUAAGGAGUGUUUCCAGGGUAAUAGUUCUAAGGACAAGAUAUCCAGUGGAGAAAGAUUAUAUCUGGCUAUCUAUCUAUGUGUCUCAUAGGACUGCAGUAUAUACUACUUCUAGAUACCAGGGCUUAUCUCAUCUUUAAUAUCCUACUUUCAAGAAGAUUAAGAUUCAUCCACACAGCAGUACUACAAAGGGUGACCAGUCUUCCAAAUUUGAGGAGGUAGAUGUUGAUACUGCAAAGCAAUGUGGAGCAGCUGGAGCUGGUGUAAGCAGUGCCAAGAGGAAUGGACUUUAGCAGGCAAUCAGGCAAGCAGAAAGUAGCAGCAGGCCACAUCAUGUCCUGUUGAAAAUGAUGGAGAAAUGUCAGGAAUUCAGGGGUAGUUAAUGGAGCAUGCAUUACCAGAAGACUGUGGGGAUGGAUAUGCAUACUAAGGGUUAAUCUUGAACACAGCUGUAUACUGUGCUGGCAUAUAAGCUUAACAUACUUAAUCAGGUGAUUUAUGCAAUGUAGAAUAGAGAAGCAUAAAUGUCUAUCUUCUGGUAUCUAAGUCCAUUAACAUUAGAAUUAGACGUCAUCUAUAUCCAGUAUGCAUUAUUUUACUUAUGAUUAUAUAUUUAUUCCUUUAUCAGAUUUUUGUUUAAAUGAGCUUCAAUGAACACAAAAGACCUGAAUAAUUUGAUGUGCAAUAAAUGUGUCCUCAUAGCAUUAUUAUUCCUUAAAUAGAGGAAAGAAUAUGUCUAGAUUAGCUCAAAUGACAAUUCCCUAUCUUACAUUAGGUUCCCUAAGUUACAGUGGAAAACAUUCAUGCAAUCCCAAAUGAAAGAGUUCAAAAAAAUGACAGAAGGUAUAGUUAAUUAGUUGACUGGAUUAUUCAAUCCUUGCAUAAAGGCAUGAGCUCAGCUUUAGUGAAGAAGUAAGAACUGACAGAAGUUAAUGCCUUCUUUAAACAUCUUAGACUCUUGUCAAAAUUAUAAUUGCAAUGAUUUCCUGUAUUUGGUAUAACAGAGGGCUGAUCUUUUUUUACCUGCUAGGAGUUUUCCUGUUAGAAAAGGGAACUGAAUAAAUCGAAUAAAACACAAGGGUAUCACAUGCAUUAGUACCUAUUGUGUUACGUACUGUACGAAACACCUUGAAAAAACAAUGUUCCUUAUGUUAAAGGCACUUUUAGUAUGAGAGGGACAAAAAUGACAAACAGAAAAAGACAGACAGAUGGAAGAACAAGAAAACAGUGACACAGUUGGUCAUCCUGACAGGCAGCAUUGCCAGUACAUCCCUAGCAUGACAGCUGUCAAAAUUUUGUUUAAAUUCACAGUAAAAGAAAGUUUUACAGAGGCAGCUAAGGAAAAUCUCCUACAAAAACAGUGAAGUGAAGCAAGCUAAAAAUCAAAAAUAUGUAAGACAAAUCAGAAUGAGGGUUUUUUUUUUUUCCCCCUCUGAUACACUUUCCUUCUGAGGGAAUAAAAAAUAAAAAAGAAAAUGGUUUAUUUUCCAGAUGUCUAGAUCCAUACCCCAGUAUGAUAAACUUUCUUUUCAUUCACUGAUGUUCUGCAUUCAUUGUCCUAAUCCAACUGAAGAAACCCUUAUCUUUACUUGAAAUUCCCCUAUCUCCUAGAAAAUUGAUGUGUAAUGCUUAUAAGAAAAAAGCUACUUUUCCUCUGAACACGUUUCACACCUUCAGACACACCAGACAUUUUCAGAGUGUCAAGUAUGUAGGAAACAUGGCUUUGUUCACAUGAUAGGAAGGCCCUACAGAGUGAUUUGGACAGGCUGAAUAACUGGGCUGGGACCAAUGGGAUGAAGUUCAAGAAGACCAAGUGCCAAGUUCUGCCUUUGGCCACAGCAAUCUCAGGCAACACUGCAGGCUUGAGGCAGAAUGGCUAGAAGACUCUGUAGAAGAAAUGGAUCUGGAAGAUUUGGUUGACACUUGGCUGAACAUGAUCCAGCAGUAUGCCCAGGUGGCAAAGAAGGCCAACGACAUUCUGGCUUGUAUCAGAAAUGGUGUUGCCAUCAGGUGCAGGGAAGAAAUCAUCCCUCUGUACUCAGCCCUGGUGAGGCUGCACCUUAAGUACUGUGUUCAGUUUUGGGCCUGUCACUACAAGAAAGAGAUUGAGGCCCAGGAGCGUGUCAAGAGAAGGGCAAGAAAGCUGGUGAGGGUUUUCUAGCACAGGUCUUAUGAGAAGUGCCUGAGGGAACUGUGAUUGUUUAGUCUGGAGAAGAGGAGGCUCAGGGAAGACCUUAUCACUCUCUAUAGCUACCUGAAGGAAGGUUGUGGUGAGGUGGGCGUCAGCCUCUUCUCCCAUGUAACUAGCUAUAGGACUAGAGGGAAUGGCCUCAAGUUGCGCCAGGGGAGAUUCAGAUUGGAUGUUAGGAACUAUUUAUCUGAGAGAGUGGUCAGGCACUGGAAUGGGCUGCUCAGGGAGGUAGUGAAGUCAUCAUCCCUGGAGGUGUUCAAGAAAUGUUUAGGUUUUGUACUGAGGGACAUGGUUAGUGGGAUAUAUUGAUGAUUGGUAGACAGUUGGACUUUUCCAACCUUCGUGAUUCUAUGAUUCUAUGAUCAACAACUGCACUGUGAAAAUACCCAUGAAGAUGUAGAAAUAGAUUCCUACCCAUAGUCAGUUCUGCAUGCGGAAAAGGGAUUAAAAGCAUAAGCCUAAGAAUUCCAGGAAAUCAAAAGAUAUUUGGGGAAGCAAAAAUAAAUGAUCUUCUGUGAAAUUCAGAUGGGAUGAGAUUGUGUUAUUUGUGACUAUCCUAGGAAAGUGCUCUGAAAAUAAUGCCUCCUACUUUAUGCUGGCUCAUGACAUCAGAGGUGGAUGUUGGUGAUAUGGCAGUAGAGACUGAAACUUCCUACUAAUAUUUUGUUAUAUUUCAUUGAUGUGAGAGCAGCAGAGGGGCAGUCUGUCAGAAUACCAUCUGACAUGGAAGUGCAUGUGAAGCAAAGGUGUGUCACUGAAUUCCUUCAUAUGGAAAAAAAUGAUACCCACUGGCAUUCAUUGAUGCCUGAGAAUUUGGCUCUAUCAAAUAGUGUGAUUGUGCUCUCUUCCAUAGAAAUAAAUAGGAGGCAUUACUUUCAGAGUGACUUACAUACAAGCACUACCCCUUUCAGUACCCAUUCUGAAAAUCAACCUAAGCAGCAAAAAUCAAAUCUGACCUUGGAAAUGGUGGUGUUAUGACCCAGAAGCUGGUCAAAAAUCCUGUCAGUAAUCUUUCUAGCUAUAUACAGAACAAUACAGUUUUUCUAAAGCUCAUGAAGACUUCAUGACAUAGUGCGCCAUUUAUUAAGCCAGAACUAAAUGAUACAGACUUUCCAAAACAAAGCACCAUCAUUUAGCUCCUCAUUUUUUCUCCAGAACUCAUUGUGACAAUAUUUUCAGCCAGAUCAUAAUCACUUAAAAUGCACAUUUAAAUAGUAUACUACUCUGUAUGCAAAGAUUGAAUAUAAAGAAAAUGUAAAACAAGGUUUUCAAAAUGAAGAAAUACUGAAAUUAGCAUUGCUGUUUGUUUCCCUUUACUGUCCACACCCUCCUGACUAUUCUGUCUGUAAAACUGAAUGAAGAACAGAAAAUCAAAUAUGUUGAGAGUCUACUAUUGAUCUAAAUGAGUAACAGGAUGUCCUAUAGAGUAACAGAAACACUGGGGGAGGGAGACAGGAAAUAAAUUAAGAAAGGAAGAAUUAUUCAUAAUGGAAGCUACUCCUGUCUCCCAGGGAUUCAGCAUCUUAGAUUUAUGUUUGUUCUCUCACACUGAUCUGCCUCGUUUCCAUUGUUUGUUUCUGCUAUUACCCAGCAGGCUUUUGCAAAAAGGUGCAGAUUGUACCAGCUUUAAAAAAAUACUGUAUCAGUGUCAGCUGUGCUAUUUCAAGUAAUCCAGGUUGAAGAUCUGCAAAUGACUUCUAAAUAAAAAACAAAACAAAACAAAAUAAAAUAAAAUAAAAUAAACUAUGAAAUAGAUUUUGGCAAGCAUGAAUACAUUUGGUAUUAUUAAAGAGUACCAUUCCCCUUUUCACACCACGGCAGCACAAGAACAGAAUUUGUAGCUGCUGCUCCAAGGAUUUACAGGAUAAAAACUGGCUCAUUGCAUCUGAUGAUGCUUCUCACUUGCAAAAGAGCAGCAGCUUGACAUAUCACAAGUCCCCGUGCUGCAACAAGCACAGGCAAACACUGACAUCUUGUCAGUAACUCCUGACCUUGAGUUAUGCAGCACUAUGCUGGCAUAACUACUCAAGCACAUAAGCGGCUAAGCCAUUUUCUAAAACUCUCACAGAUAAGAAUCAGAUACUGUGCUUGUCUGAUGGAGACAGUUGAACAUACUAUAUUAAUACUAGUAUCUUCUAAAACAUAUCCUGAGCCUUAAAAGUCCACUGUUUGAAUAAAUUCAUCAACAAGAUUUCAGUGUUUUCCUGCAUGGUUGUACUCUUCUGUAUCUGUAAUGUAUCAGUUGUCCAAGGUAGUCCACCAAGCUGUCAUUCCCCUCCACCUAGAACCAGAGUCAGUCUUGUACACUGAGUUGCGCCAACAAAACAUUCUUAGACAAGAGCACUGCUGACGCUUUACUUGCUGAUAUCAUGCUGAUGAGUUCAAACGGUUCCAGCCACUCUGCAAUAUUAUUUGCCAUCUCCUAAGAUAACAUCCAUCAGUGGACACACUAUAAGAACGGUGCAAACCUUUUACUAAUCAAUGUUUUGAUAAAUGACCGCUCAAUUUGUUUACUAAAAAGCACUUAACUUAAAUAAGAUCUCAUCAUUCUGCUUUUGCUCUCCACUGGUAAGACAUUCCCUUGUUAAAAAGAAUUCUUUCAGCUUUGGUAUCCUUAAGAUUAUUGAUAAUAGAUGGUCUUUUCCUCUUUAUUCUUUAGGCCCUGUCCUGCAGAUACCAAUCUAUUCCCAAAACUGCAGACAACAUUUCCCAUCCAGGAAUUAAGCUUUAGAUUUGAGAAUGUCAGCUACACAAGAAAGGCAUCUCAAACUAUUACUAAUACUCCAUUUCAGUCUACCAUGAGAAAAAUCAGAAAAAUGAAGAUAUUUAUGAUAAGCAAUCACUGAUAGAAAUCAUAAACAAAUAAGUCUCUGUCUUUGAAUACAUCCCACUUCUCACUUGUACAGUAAGGGCAAAACAAGUAUUUUCCUUCUAUUCAGUGUUGCAAUGCCCUAGGCUUUACACAUAGUGCAGUUGUUACAAGGAAGAUACUAUUUCUUGCAAGGAAAUUACUAAUACUGCCCUAAAGAAUUGCACUCUAAACUGUGCACUGGCAACACAAUACAAAUACAUAUUUGAGCAGGCAAAUUUGAGUUGACAGGUGAAAGCCUAUGUUUAAGGGACAAGCAAUGCUUUACGCAGGAGCUGAAGUACUGGUUCACUAUAAAGAAAAAACUGGUUUCUAACAAUGACCUGUGGGAGAAGUACAUGCAAAGAUCAUUAGAGAUGAGCAGUUCUCUUAUUCCCAGGUCCUCUGUAUUACUGACAGGCAGCUUCAAGAAGUAAGUAAAUUUAUUUCACAAAACUCAAAAAAAAAAAAAAAAAACCAUCAUAAUUUAACUUAAAUUUAUUAACAUUAGAAAAGCUCAAUUUUAUCUUCAAAAGUCACGACCAUUGAUUUCUGAAAGAAUUUAUUUUGGUAUAUCUCUGCCAAGGGACUUAUUUUCUGUGACAUAAAUAGUUGUUCUGUGAAGUCAGGCUGUCUCAUAGCAUAUAUUCCUCUCAGCGGAAUCAACACACUACUCAGAACUCUUCACAGAACACAGUUGCUUUAGGAAGUAACGUCACUCCAUUCAAGAGAAAAGAUGAUACAAGGCAGAAGGACAUAAUGCAAGGGCCUCAGACUUUUCAAAGGAAAGCUCUAGGGUGACCGUAUGUUGCUUCUGAGCAACCAGUAAGCUCUGUCAGUCUAACCAAUGGUGCUUGUUCUAUGCAUGGAAAAGAGUAAGGGGAAAUGAAAUUAUCCAUGUUUGGAAUGAAUACUGAACGUAAAAUUUUGUAAUGGAGGUGCAGGAGUAAGAAAAGAAAAUUUAAUACCUUUUGUAAAUCAAAACAGAUUAAGUUAAAAUAUAACUACAAAAGAUUAACCUCAAUCUUUGAGAAAAAAAAAUGCAGUUAUACGGAAUCUCACAGAAGCACCAUUUUUCCCCCUCAUUUGUUUCUUUUUUUUAUUUAUUGUCUUCAAUGAACUUUCUAUAAUUGCACUCAGAAUUUGACCCUAAAGUCAAAUAAUUAAGAUUGAAAUCCUCCUUUUUUACAAUUAUUCAUUAUAUUUUUAAGCUAAUAUGUUUGUUGCUUAUUUUUAUUGUCCCAGUGUAGUAACUUUUAAUCAGAUUCACAUAGUUAAAUAUACUUUUUUUCUGACAGAAGUUGUGUAUCUAUCAGUCUUAUUCAAGAGCAUGAAUUUUAUCCAGGUAAUUAUGAGUAACUGAUCAGGUUUUCUGCAUGUCUGGGGUCCAGCUUUUCAAGAUUUCCUCUGUUCCUUACAUUGGAUACGUAGAAAAAAAAAAAACAUUCCUCUGAAUUUCCAUCUAUACUCUCUUUCAAGGUCAUAGGGAUCUUCCGUAGUUCUCUCCUUCACAUUUUCCUCUGGAUCCCUCACUUUGUCUUUGUCCCUGAGAAUGAUACUCUUGCAAGUGUUUUCCAUCCCAGCUCUGGAUUCUAUAGCCUCACUGACACCCAGAUGAACUCAAUUCCUCUGCCUCCAUCUUAUAUGUAUAUAAAACGUUAAUAUAUAUUAUCUGUAUAUAAACCUUUUCCUUUAAACUGAUUGUAAUAAUUUUUAUUACUUUUAAGGGGAGUGUUCCAGUUCUGGCUUUCAGGAAAAGUAAUGUCCAUUCUAUGAUUCUGUGAUUCGUACAUUUCAAACCUAUUUUCCUGAGUAAAAAUGGUGGAGAAUAUUCUUUUCAUCAUAUCACUUUUAUUAUGUGAUAUUUGGAUGAGAAGAAACCAUGAUGGUUUUGGAAAAAACUGCUUACACAAUGCUGCUUAAUUAAUAUAAUUGGUCUAUGUACGUCACUCUGAAAAUAAUGCCUCCUAUUUAUUUACAUAGAAAAUGCACUAGAUACAAGGAGCACAAUAACACUAUUUGAUAAAGCAAAUUCUAAGCUAGAAAACACUAUUUUUUAACACAGUGACCACCAUGAGCUCCACAUUUCACCAUCCAUGAACAAGAGCCUGCAUGCUGCACUUCUAAAGAUAUGCACCAAAAGAGGUGAAUCACUUUCACUGUCACCACUGCUGAAACACACCACCCACUGCCUCAUUGAGUUCACAUCCACUGUUUGGUUUCCAUAAACAUUCAGCAAGCAUCGAUGAAUGUCAGUGGGUGUAAUGUUUUCCACGUGGAGGAAUUCAUUGACACACCUUUGCUUCAUACAAACCUCCUUGUCAGACUGCUCCUCUGCUGCCCUCUGUCACACAGCAACAAAACAUAACGGAAUACUGGUGGGAAAUUUCAGCCUUUACUGCCAUACCACCAACAUUUGCCUCUGAUGUUGUCAGUCAACCUAAACAAAUAGGAGGCAUUAUUUUCAGAACAUCCCUCGUACAUCCUUAGGAAUGGGGUAGCAGUCCAAAUAUAGGGUUGAAAGAUCAAGAUGAUUACCAGCUAUUCAUGGAGAACUGGAAAAAGCAAUCAAAGAGGAUGUGAGUUAUUAUCCAUAUCAGUUUAGGUUCAGAACCUAUGGGAGGGAGAGAGCCCUCCCAUAAAAUCAGUUUAGAAGGAUGAAAAAGAAUCCGUUUGUUUAGCACUGUGUCUGAGACAAAACCAAAUAGACUUACUGCUGUAAAUACACUCCUCUACUGGCCUGCAGGAAAACAUCACGGAUCCUCAGGAGGAAAUAGUGGGAGAUUUUUAUGACUUAAUAAUAAUAAUAAUAAUAAAAUUUUAAAAAAUGAAAUAAAUCCUGUGUUUACUCUUGCUAUAGUCUCAAGCCUCACUGAAACCUUAGCAGUGAUAAAAGGGAGGGCUGUUGAGGUGGGACUUGUGAUUUUGGGAUCCUGGAGGUAAUGUCUGCUUUCCCUUAUGGAACCAUUGCUCUCUCUGUACACUUUCUACUCACCCACUUAUGGGAGUGGGUGGAAGGUUGGGGAGAAGUCAAGUCCUUCUCAAGGACAACAAAAGAGGCCUUUGUAAAGCAACAUGGACGCUAAAGUCCUAAGGGAGGUCCUAAGGGAUUAAAACCAGAGAAAAAAAAAUAAUCCUUUGGUCCUCCAGACACAACAGUGGAAACAAACUACUUCUCCUUUACUUAAUAUUUAAAAUAUUAAAAGUUUGCAAAUUCCCCAAAAUGGAAUCCAAUUAUCCUUACAAACAGAACCUGAUUUCCCCAAUUCUCUGAGCCACUGAUGCUCAGCAGCUGGCUGAGCUGUUUUGCACUCUAGAAUCUAGGACAGCUGACAGUCAACAGAUUUACUUUGCUGAGAGGAUUUGCUGGUAAUUUUGUCCAGCUUCUGUCUUCCAAUGACAGUCAAUAUUUUCCAAGUAAACUCAUCCAUGAAUUCAUGUAAAGGCCUGAUUUAAAGCAUUAGGCACUGACACAUCCCCUUUUACUGCUUUAGAUACAGUUCUAACUCCACCAAAAGAUAAGCAUUUUGAUGGAAUGCAGUGAUCAUUUAUGUGCUGUUAAAGUAACACAGACAAUUGAGCACCUUAAAAUGCUGACGUGUUACUCUCUGAAUGUCUUCUGUUUCAAUGAUCAAAAACUGGCCACAAAGUUAUAUACUAAAAAAAAGCAUAUAAAAAUCUGACUAGUGCACAGCAAUGCAACAGUGAUGCUCUUGGUCCAUGAUUCUCUCAAUGAUAAUUAAGGGCUAAAAUCAGUAUAUUUUUCUUGCUAGAUAGCUACAAAAUGAGGAGGGGAAGGGAAUACAGAAAGGAGGAAAGGGAAGUAGCAAAGUACUUCGAUCAAUCACUUAUCAAACUUUUCCUGGUGCACCUGUACCUUUGGGAACCUGAAUAACUCACUGAGGUGACACAUGCAGUUCACUGUUCCCUGGCUAAAGCCAUGAUCACCAGACAGUAUUCAGAGUAGUGUGCUACACUCAAACUAUUGAUGUGCUGGCAACAAAUAUCCUGUGUGAAGAUACUUUUGUCAAAACAGACAUUGUUCUGUCUAAAUGUGCUUAAAAUCAAAUUAGUAUCACUAAGCAGCAAUCAACAGGUGGGUAAAAGUGUAUGAUACCAGUUAAUUAAAGACAGUUCACAAUUCUAUCUUUCUGACAAAAGACAGACCAGGCAGAGUCUCUGAAAUGCUUGAACUCUGUUUUGUGCCAUGAUAAACAUGCACCAAUUGUUGGAAAUGGUCUUGAUUGAGUCAAGCUAUUGUAAAAUCCAUAAGUUCUCUCUCUCACCCAUACCACUUACUGAUAUGCUCUAUUUAUUUAAAGUUUGAAAAGAUACAGAUGGUAUUUAAACUGUCUGAAAUCACAUGUCAAUAAUGCACAACAGUUCUGAUUAUUAGGGAUCUCCUUGCUGCCAUAUAAUCUGUGUAAGGUCUCACUUAAUGCAAAACUGAACCAUUCAAAUGUUCCCAACUAUGACUACUGAGAUAAUGUCCAUUAUUGCAAGAUCUAGGUCACUGUUAUUUUAAAGCAGAGUCAUGCUACUAGUCAUAUUUGCUAGUCAUACAAACACCUUUCAGACAAAAGCAGCUGCAAUUUCUCCUCUAAAUAAGUUUUAAAGACUUUUGAAAGACAGAGAUGGUAAAAAUAAGUUGCACUCCACCAUAAUGCAUGGUAGAGUGCAAUGUCACAGAGGUUGUGGAUGCCCCAUCCCUAAGGCAUUCAAGGCCAGUCUGGAUGUGGCUCUGGGCAGCCUGGUCUAGUGGUUGGUGACCCUGCCCACAGCAGGGAGGUUGAAACUAGAUGAUCUUAGAGGUCCUUUUCAACCCAGGCCAUUCUAUGAUUUUUCCCACAAUGUGUACAAUUUAUUGUGAAAAUCAUUCAGUCCUUUGUGUGGAGGAAACUAGUACAACAUUUACAGGAGCAAAUUACAGAAUAAUUUCAGAAUGGAUGCUCACAGUAAAGAAUAAUGCAUGUGAAUUAAAUACUGGAAUAAAUGUUAAGUAAUAACAAUGUCUUAAAUCCAUUGGUUUAGAAGGAGAUUUCUUCAUUCAGGCAUCUGUUCAUUUAUAUCAAAUGGUUUUGCUCCUCUGUCACUGAGAUAUUUUUAACUUUUCUUCCCCUUCUCUCAAAAUCUGUUCAUUCAAAUAGUCUCAUCUUGACAUAUCACUGAAAUAUAUUUCUGCUAUGGUUAAGAAAGUAGACAGGACUCACUCAGUAAGACAAUAAAUAAUUCAAAGUGGUGACCAGGAUGCAGUUCUACACACAACUGCAAAAUUUGAAACCUGCUGGGCAGAAAUCAGUCACAGUCCAGAUGUCCAGAAUGAUAUCUUUUCAUACUUUCCCCAAGGAAAGUAAAUGCCUCUCCCCCCAUCUUUUUUUUCUUUUUUUUCUUUUUUUUUCUUGUCUCCUGUUAUGAGAAUAUUCAUAAUACUAUCCCCAACUCUACGAAAAUCCAUAUCACACUGUGGUUAUUCUUCCUGGGUUUUCUUGUUUUUACUAAGAGAAGAGCAUAUCAUCUUUAUUUAUACCAAGAGAUGAGCAUACCAUCUUUAUUUACACCAAGAGAUGAGCUUACCAUCUUCAGAUGAACAGAAGAUACUCCUAGAGUUACAAGCACAGAGAAGGGAAACAGCACACUUGUCAUGGGUAAUAUAGCUAAAUAUCACCCUGAAGUAGAACAAUUAUCCUAUGGUGCAUAUAUCAAAAUACUUCAAAUUUCCAGCAUCUUCUGAGUCACUAAGUUUAUUUAAAAUAGCUUGCAAUCAAUAACUUUAAGAAGUUAAAUAUAAGAGAGGUUUGAUUUUGCUUUUCUAGAAAAAAAAAAAAACAAAAUAAGGAUACUGCUUUUAAGAUAACCAAGCAUAAGUAAGGUCAUGGUUCUGGCCAACAAGAUAACUGGAUCCAUAACCAAAGCAAUACUUUAAUUUCUAUGUGACCUAAUUUGUUAACACUGGUAUUAAGCACACCAAAAGCAAGUAGAAAUCUGAAAUCCAAGCUUUUUUCUUCUUAUAGCCUGUGUCACUGCACAGUUACACAUACAAGGUAUGGCACACUUCAUCAGUAGGGAAAAGACUACCACAGAAAAGAUUCCUUUUGUCAAGAUAAGUUAAAGUAAUGUUCUGAUCUUCAGCAAAGAUAUGCAGUAAUUUUGAGUAUUUGUUCUUAUUGCUUCCUACAAAUGCUUAAUGCAUUACUGAAUACUUGCACAAACUCCUUCCAACUACAUACACAACGCUUAGAAGGAUUCUUCCAGUGCCAUCUUUAUCCACAAUGAUCCUCAUUCUUCAAAAUUAAAAAUUGUUUUUCUGCAAGAUUAAAAAAUUCAUAAUCCGUUCAGCACUGACUGCCAAACAUGCUCGUGUGACAAGAUUUUGGCCAAGGUGAUAAACUGGGCAUUUUUCCUAUGUCACGUGACUUUUGUUGCUUAUUUGGCAUCGUGAAAAUGAAAGGAUUUAUUUUAUCAUCAUUUUCACAUAUAUUUUACCUUUGCCAAAUCCAGUUUUUAGUAUGUGUUCUAAUCAGACUUAAUUUUGGCCUUGAGGGAAAAGAAAAUUGAGCAGUCAAGGCAUUGCAGAGCAGCCAACAUCCGUGAGUGAAAUUCAACUUUGGCGUAACCUAACUGGUUGGGCUUCAGCAGGAAAGUGUCUGUACAGGGGGAGCAGGGAUGGAGGUGGCAGGUAUUUGGAAGAGCAUACAGAAAAUUGCCAAAGCAGUUCAGAAAUCCCUGCAGUAACAGCUCCAAAAACUGACAAACAAGAGCAGGAAAAUCAAACCUGAACAAAUAAUUUGCAGUGCGUGUACAUAAAUUUACCUGGAAAAUCCAUUGCUCACUCUUAAUCCCUUGUUAAUCUUGAGCGUGACAUAAGUUUUCAGGCUAGAACUCCACAGGAUGAUGAGUGAUGAACAGGGAUGUUUCAGCUGGGCAGAAAAAAAACAAGCCUUGGAACACCAGAAACUCGUUCUUCUGAACAACACACACUUAAGGCAGCAAAAAAUUUAUACAGGAUGCAAGCAGCUCAGGCAUUUCCUGGAAUCACUUUUAUUUCUCUUAAUGCAGUAUAUGCUUUAAGUGCCCCUUACUUGACAAGGGAGCUGAAGUUGGUUCUUCAAUACAGAAUAAAAACGCAGUGAUGUAACACAGAGUUGCAUCUUUACAUUUGUCAGCAUGGUUGUGAUGAGAUUCAUAGCUAUGUGUCACACUGUGCUAACUGAGCUCCCAACAUACUGCAGCCACACGAGUUCAGGCAAAUGACUGCUUUCCAGGAAAUUUUAUCUGAAUUAUCCUUCUGAACUCUGGCUAAAGCAUUUUUCUUUAAGUUAAACUUGAAGUCCUGAAACAUUAAAGAGCAUUAUGCAUCAACUUAAUUGGAAACAGUUUUGCCUCAACACAUCCUGCAUUUGUUCAAGGACUUAGAAAGAGAAAAGCCCAUGCUUUGAAGCACCGUGACAACUUAAGAUAAAUUUCACAUUACUUUUCUAACAGAGUAUAAUUGAAAACAUACUUCAUCACAGACAGUAAUCUUAUUCUGGGUAGAGAUGCAUUUAGCCCACAAGUCUGAACCUCAAAAUUCCCAAGUCUUGAUCAAAUUCUGACUGUGGCCCAAACUGUCUUCUCAUUCUGUAAGAAGCAAAUCCAGUUUUAAUAUUACUGGGUUUAUUAAUUAUUAUUAAUAUUAAAUUAUUAAUAUUUAACAUUACCCCAACAAUAAAAAAAAAAAAAAGGGGGAAAAAAAAAAAAAAGAAAUAAGAAGACUCCAAACUAUGUAGCUCCUAUUUUUAUGCCAGUUUUUCAAGAGGUCUUUUUCCCAUCUCAGCACCCAUCUCUCUCCUGCUUGGGUACUGCUGCCAUUUAGAGUGAAGCAGUACACCAGUCACUCAAGGUCACAGAGGAAGGCUCUUGCAGAGCCAGAAAUUUGAAUCAACAUCUCCUGUGCCCUAACCACAAGGCUCUCCUUCCUCUCCUUAACAGCACAGUGUGUUUCUUUGUUAAGUUUCUUUCUAGUUAGACAUAACAUAAUGGGCCUUUUUCUUUAUUCAUAGAUAAUGGCAAUAUGACAUUAUGAGAUGGGCAGUUGUCAUUCGCAGGGAAUGUUCUUUUUCCGCUUGCCCCUAAAACACAAACAUCACUUAGCAGAUUGUUGUCAGUCGAUGAAACUAGGAUCUCUGUGAUUUACAAUCUUUUUCCAGCAGUCUCGCAAUAGAAAUUUGUCCUUUAUUUCUGUUUUUCAUGAUACGAAAGGUUGACAACUUGUGGAUCCUAGAUAGCAAGUAUUGCACCAUUUCCUAUACAACCUUCACCAGACAUAUAAGAAAAAAAAGCCUUCUUCACCAAGGAAAUGAAGUCAACAGCAGGUAUUUAUUUCAAACCCUUGAGAAGGUUUACGUACCACAGUAAUAGAUCAGUAGUCACUGCCUACCAUAAUAUGUGAGCAGCCUUACACAUAUCCCUACAAGACAUGAGAAGCCCAACAGCAUCAAGUGGAAGACCCAGGCACAGUACUGCAUUUUCUGUUGUCACAUUCUCCAUUUUAAUCAGAGGGACACAUUUGCUAUUUCAAGACUCUGGAGACUAUGGUUGGAAGUCAUUCUAUGAAACAAGAGAAUUAUAGAUAUUCACUUUAUUUGUGCAGACAAAUAAAAGAAUGCAUUUGACAGAUGCCUGCCAUACAGAACUCCAUCUUUGGGUUACUAUUUUUGCAUUCAACUCAAAAAAAUAAAAAUGAAAAAAAAUCUAGUUUCUUUAAGCCCUGUCCUCUUUUCCAUGACCUUUUUGAUCAAUAAGCCUUUGUUUUGCUGCAAUUCCUUGGCAUGACUACUGCUAGUCCUUAUCUCAUAUUUACAUUUAAGCUCUUUGGGCCUUGGCAGAGGUUUGAGUCAUAUAUUUUCCUUAGAUUACAAACUCUAAAUGAAGUCCAUCACUUGAGAGUGUGGUCUUCUCAGGAGACCCAGAAAUUAGCUGACUACCUUCACUGUUUGAUACAUCUUCUGGCAAGUUAGUGAAAUUCAGGUUGACAGCUAUUUUCAUAUAGAUAACAGGCUUCUCUGUCUUUUUAAGACUUUUUUUUGGGGGGGGGGGGGGGGGGGGGAAGAGGAUGGUAGGGACUCGGGAAGUCUCCAUCAGAUUCUGGAGUUGCUAUCAUUUAAAAAAAAGCAACAGCUCCAAUGGCUCUCUGGCACUACAUGAUCUUCUCACAGGAGUUUCACUGAUAAAAAUAAGUCCCAUUUUCAGGUGACAAACCAGUGUGAAACCUUCUGCUCUCCGUUAAGGUUGUUGCCCUAUAUAAAGAGCCAUUUUUCAGACACUGCACUGUAACAGCAAUCUCUAGCUUACCUCUCAGCAACUCUAUCUCCGUAAGUACUGCAUUCGAGCAAACAGACUAAAAAAAAAAAAAAAAAAAAGUCUAAGAGAUCUUAAGAAAAACAACAUUGACAUUCCACUAAUACUUGCCUUUUCCCCUUCUCCAACAGCAAAUGCUGAAAAGGUGCAAGUGACCAACUUCUGAAAUGCUACAUAAAUGCUCAGAAAUAAAUCAAAGAUUUAUACCCAAGUAGACACAACCAAAUGAAACUCACUUUCAGCUUCACAAUGCGGAAUAACGCAUUUGUGAGUGACUGAUAUAUUGCUCAUGAAAAGGGAAAAAAAAUACAAGAAGAAGCCUUUUCACAGUUCAAUAGAAAGUCACAAUAUUUGAGAAAUGAAUAAGGAGUCAUGUAAUGGCUUUGCAGCUUUUGAACUUUCACAUGUUUCAGAUUUUUCUAAUGCUUGCGUGGAUUAAAGAGAUUCACAUCUCAAUGGCUAGGGCACCUAACGUUUUUUUCUGGAUCAGGUUUAAUGCUUUCCACACUGUAAAAAUUUCACUUUGCAUGAACACACCCUGAAUUUAAGGAAUUUUUCAUAUUUAAGUGUGUGUUUUCCAGUAUGUUUCUUUUUAUGUUAACCUCGUCAAAGGGCAUGGUGUCUGGAUCAUAAGAAUCAUCAACUACUUCAAUUUCACACAUCAAUACACUGGGCCUUUCUGGCAUGCUUUUCUUCCCAGACUCCAAAAAUAAAUUAAAGGGAGGAAAAAAAGUCAGGAGACAAUAAAUUAGAAGACAUCCAGAUUUUUUUCUUUACUUCUGUGUAUUAUCUCAACUUGGACCCCAGAAUAAAAAGGAGAACCAUUUAUUGCAGUGAUGUGCAAAGUUCAUCGUUUUAAAGCUACAACUACACCCUAUUCAUCUCUUUAAAAAUAUUUCAAAGCAGGGCUGUGGGACCCAAAGAAAGAGAAGAGUCUCUGAUGUCCACCCAGCUCACACAGAAAAACACUGCAUUUUCUACCCUUUGACAAAGGAUUAAGGAGUGACAAAAAGCCUCUCUAUCGUUUCUAAAAAAUGGGUAUGUGUGUGCAUGGAUAUGACGCAAACUCUAACAGGUAUAAGGAAGGUGUGGGUAUCAUCUAGAAUCAAGAAACCAUCACAGGCUUCAUGGAAGCCGGCACAUGCAUUUAGUCUUUAUGGCUCAAAAACUAGGGCGACCAGGUGUUUAAAACAUUAGCACGCAAAAGGAGUGACAGUCCAAGUUGUUGGGGACUGUGUAGAACUGAAUCUAACGGAUGAACAGAGGGUGUUUUGUUGUUUCUUUGUUGUUUUUUGUUGUUUGUUGCUGUUACUGCUGUUUGUGAUUGUAGACCAAUAGAGAAAGAUAAUCUAGGAAAAUGCAAGUAAAGGGGGUGUAAGAGCAAAGAGGAAUGUUGUGCAUUGACACUGGGAGGAUGAAGCUUUUUUUGAAUGCUACUUGCAGGUAUAACCAUUUUGGGUAUUUCUGGAAAAAGAAGAAAGAAAGGAAAAAAAGAGAAAAGGGGAAAGAAAAGGGAGGGGAAGGGAGAAGAAAGAAAAGCUCUGAUGACUUUUGCCUGUGUUUGUUGAAGCAAAAUUGCAUACUUGCUCUGUAAAAUAAAGCACAUGGCUGCAAAACUGCCCCCAAAAUACAUUUCAUUUCUAUCAUCAGUUUCUCAUUCUUAUCGGAAUUGCCAGGUUCUGAAUUCUGACCUUGGGGCUUAAAACACAAUGAAUGUGCAUGAAAGAUUUUACACACUUUUCACCAAAAGAACAACUUCUAUGUCCCAAACCAUAGCUUUUACAACUAACAGCUAUAUUUGAAAACAAAUGUAUCCUUUCACCCUGUGAAUUAAACAAUAAAAUGCUUUUGUGGGAAGUCUGUGUUCCACACGGACAUUUAUUACUGAAUUUGCAUUUAUGACUAUGCUCAGUUUGUUUCACUGAAGUUUGUUUCAUUCAUCUAAGCAAACACAGCCACCAAAAUAGUUUCUAAAAAAUCACAUUAUGGAAUGACUUCUCUUCAAUAGCAUACCAGUUCCUCAUGUAAUAGCACCAUACUAUGCUAUUUUCUCCCAAAGCUUAUCAGAUCUGCUAGUACGUCAAAGUGUGCAAGAGUACCAUCUUAAAAUACAAACACUUUUCAGGAGGCUUGUGUUCAGUGUUCUGGCUGCAUAAGUCCACUUUUCAGCCUACAGCAUGAAGUUCAAGGCACAAAAGAAGUUUUGGUAAUACAAGGUAUUAAAAUAAAUACCAGUGAACACUAGUAUGCAUCAUAAACAUACAGGGGAUCUUUGAGCUGACUCUUUAAGGGUGAAACAAAACACCACACCGUACUCAGUAAAGUGAUUUUUCUGCCUGAGAAAACACUGUUUUUUCUGUUUUGUCUCCUCCCAGUGUGAUUGGCAGUGUUGCAAGCCAACAAUUGCAACAAGCCUAGAGUAUAACUGAAUUUAUUGGUAUCCAUCAUUAAGCAACACAGGAGUACAGCCAGAAAUUCACUGCCUGAGAUUUCCUCUAGCUUUCUAUGUAUUAGAAAUGUUUGAUCCAUAUAGAAAUCUUAAACUAUGGAACACUAUCGAUUCAAAAUCCUGUUGGGCUUCUGACUAUUUUGCAUGCUCUUAACCACCAUUAGAGUCAACAACAAUAUCAGAGAAUUAUAGAACAUGAGGGAGCCAGGACUGCCUAAGGCUAUCAAAAAGCCAAGGGAGAGAGGUGGUUUGAAUAAAGGAUAUUACCUCUCCUUACAAACACCAUCAAACUGAAAACAUUGUAAAUAUGAUUGAGCAAAGAAGGCAACCAACUGCUGGCAACAUUUGAAACUUUGGAAAAUCCCUUUGGAGAACUGGACAAGCAGGUGUCAUGCCCUGGUUUGCACAGCUCUCCAACCAGUCCACCAGUCUCAGCUUUUGCUUGGUCCCGUGGCUUUCAGAUGAUCUACUCUAUUUGAAAGCACACAAGCAAGUUGUUCUGCACAGCAUUAUUAUUCCAUCCUGCUCCUUGCAAAUGCGUCAUAACAUGAGAAUCUGCUUUGUGAAAUCAAAUAUCACUUGCCUGAUUGGGCCCCUUGGUAUGCCAUUUACUUGUUUCUUCUAAAAUAAAUGAGAUUACUCUCAUAAAACAGGGGAAAGUAUUUUGGAAGGCAGUGCUUAGUAUUCGUAUCUUCCAUUUUGUUCUCAUAUUCAGCUAACAUACUAAAUACAAACUGACACUACAAAAAGAGACACCAUGGGAGGCUACUUAUUUAUUUGAUAUUUACAAGUGUCUCUCCAAUACCACAAAAAUAUUAGGAAUAGUGAGUGUAAUGCCAAGAAAUCCAAGACAAGACCAACUGCAAGACAAGUGCGCUAUUCACUGUCUGUUUACAGAAAAUACUUGCUGCAAACACGUGACUAUAGCGGAGCAAAUAAGGCAUUGAUAUGCACCAAAAUUUCUGCUCCCACACAAAAAGGAUGGGUACAUAAAGUUUACAUGAGUGGAGUUAAGCCAAAGCUAGAGGGAAAGGGAUACAACCUUACCAGUCUUGGGAGAGACAAUGAACUUGUAGUCUCAUCAGUGAGUUAUAAACAACUGCAGGUUUGAGUUUCAAAAGAGUAAUAAGAAAAGAAUAGCACCGCUGGAGAUGGCUUCACUAACAAUUCAGUUCAGCUAAGAUGGUGUGUAUGUAUUCUUGCACUUGCAUGCAGGAACUGUAAGUGAGAUCCAUAAUAUAUUGCCAUUAUUAGAGUUCAUGAACAGGAGAUUUACCCAAAGAUUCAUCAGCCGUGUUUCAACCAUCACCAAACCAAGUUUGCAGCACAGUGUCUCCUCCUAUGUUCAGCCUGGGUUCUCCAAGUAGCAUAACAUAGGAAAAAAAUCUAUUACCAACAGUCAUCUACUGGCUUCCAUUUUUUCAAAUGCUUUCAACUUAGAGGUAUCCAAACAUUUUUUACCUCGGAAAGGCCUAAUUACUGUGUCUGUCAGGCUUACAACAAAAACACAGCAAACUCUAGACACAACUGUGGCAUACCUACCUCCAAAUUAAUAUUUUUGUUGGAUGUGGAUGUGAGCAUUUUAUUUACGUAACAUCAAAGUUUUUUUUUGUUUGUUUGUUUUUGUUUUUAAAGGAAGGAAUCCAUUGUUAACUUCAGUGAUGAUAACAGAAUAAGUCAUUAAAGAGCUAGAAAGCAUUUCCUUUUAAAGACUGCUUUUUUUCUGCCUCUGCACUUCUGGGCCCUAUCUUUGUAGGUCAAAACAUAACCACCUUAUUCCCUGAGUUUCCACAGACUGUUACAGACUGGACUCAUUCUUUUUUUGUUUGUUUUGUUUUGUUUCACUUGCUGUUUCAUUUUAUCAAAACAAAAGAUAUUUUAUGAUGAAAACAGAAGUAUAUGAAAACACAAAGUUAUGGAGACUAACCCCAACUCAACCUUAUCUACUCAGUAGGAAAGCGUUACUUCCUCGUAUUUUCUAAUACUCAAGGGCAAAUUUAUUGCUUAAAGAUUCAAGCAUUCAAAGAAUGUUCAGAGGAAAAGAGGAAUGAAAACUCAGAAAUAGAAAUACUACACUCUGGAGUGAGAAGAGAGACAAAGACAUGUUCAGCUGAAAAUACGUAGACCUGAUACCUGGUCCCAGUGAGUGCCAGGAUAAAACAGCCAUUGGUUGAAGUAAGGUCAUGAUCUCUGUCAAGAUUUAAGUCUGGACUCACUUUUGAAACAGCAUCAUUUGUCGGUGGUGGUGGUGAAUGGGAUGACAGGAUUAAUGUGAUGGUUAUGCUCUGUGUUGAAAUGGCACGAAUUGUAUGUCAAGAUGCUUUCACCAUAAACAAGCCAGCACUGAACACUUGGAAGCACAGUUCUGGUAUUAAUCUGAGGUAACUGUGAUUACACAUUAUAAUGUAUGCUCCAAUACUGCACUUGUGUAAAUUGUCUGUGUCUUUUAUAUAUAUACUAUACUAUGUAUAGUAUAUAUAUACUGUGUCUUUUGUAUAUAUACUAUACACACAAUGUGUGUACAGUAUUUCCGAGUAUAUAGGCGCACACAUGCAGGAAAAAUAUGAAUGUGGGAGCCACAGUAAUGCUGCUCCUGGCUGAAGGUAAUGUUACAGAAUUAGUUUCCAUCUUAGUGGAUCACAGGAAAAAAAAUACUGUAAGGAUUAUUUUAAUUUGUAAAACAUUUGUAUUCCCUCCUGUACUGCAGUAGAAGGAAUGCGUCAACUGCCACUUUUUAAGAAAUAUAAUACACUUCCUCCUACUUUGGGUUUGAAAUUGGAACCAAAACAAAUUUGCUGCAGAAAAAACUGAUCUUAAAGGUCCUGGCAGGAGGUAAAGUCUGGAAGUGAGCUCACUCCUUGCUGCCAUUAUCCCUUCAUGGGAAUCUAGAUGUGCCAUUCUAUAUCCUGCAUCCUCUGCUCCUUUUCAGAAAACCAGAAAGCUGAAUGACAUCACAAAAUGCACAAAGUGCACAACCAGCCAAGACUCCUGGGUGAGGAAUACACUGACCACCACAGCCAACUCAAAUAGUGGUAGGAUUUUGGAUCCUUGAUUGGAAGAAAAAAUUGUCUGCAUAUGCUACUUGUAAAUCAGCACUCGCUUAGCCACCCUAGAGAAUGAAACACAGCACAAUAGAUCUUUCACAGCUCACAGGAGAGGUCAUGGUACAAAAAUGCUGAACAAUGCAACACAAUCUUUUGUAGGUAAGCAACUUCUGGGUGGGAGGUGUGAGUUGUUACAACAAUAGAAACCUCAGAGGAGACAAUCAGAAAAUUCUUAACAUGCUUUUUGAAGGAAUGUACACAACUGACUGUAUUUUCAACAGACAUAUAUUUCAAACUCUUCUGGUGCCCUGAUUCUUAUGCUUUAUAAACACAUACAUAGAAAGAGCUAGAUUUUGUUUCUGUUUCAUUAACUCCACAUUUCUGCUACUUAUAAUUAUCCCAGGCAUUAUGAUCAGACAAUUCACACAUUAAUUUAUUUGAGGUAAUUUCCUUUAAAGUGACUUGCAGAAUAGUAACCUAAUGUUGAGUACAAUUUCUGGUGCACUGCAUUUUUCAUAUUUAAUAUGUCACUUGACAGUUUGUUAAAACUGACUGACUUGAUGUCUGUUAUAAACGUUCACUGUACUGAAAUCCCAAACAAAUAUCAGGGAUAUAAUUCUUUUCCAUAGACUAUAUGCUUAAUAUUGUUUCUUGCCUUCCUCUGGGCUCGCUCUUAGCAUGAAUAUGCCAAAAUAAGAUGAUACUCAACUCAUUACAACUCAGUACAGAAAGGACAUGGAGGUGCUGGAGCAGGUCCAAAGAAGGACAACAAGGCUUGUGAAGGGCUUGGAGAAUAUGCCCUGUGAGGAGAGACUGAAGGAACUGGGGCUGUUUAGUCUGGGGAAAAAAAGGCUGGGGGGAGACCUCUCUUCCAAUAUCUGAAAGGUGCCUACAGAGAGAGCGGGGUUGGUCUCUUCUCACUGGUGACAGGUGACAGGAAGAGGGGAAAUGGCCUUAAGUUGCACCAGGGUAAGUUUAGGUUGGAUAUCAGGAAAAACUUUACUGAAAGGGUUGUUAAGCACUGGAAUAGGCUCCCCAGGGAGGUGGUUGAGUCACCAUUCCUGGAUGUGUUUAAAAAUCGUUUGGAUGUGGUUCUCAGGGACAUGAUUUAGCAGAGGGUUGUUAGGGUAGUAUGGUUAGGUCAUGGUUGGACUCGAUGAUCUUUAAGGUCUUUCUCAACCUGAGUGAUUCUAUGAUUCCAUGAUUAUGAUUUUUCUAAAAAAUAUGUUUCCACUGAAAUUAAUGUAAUAUGGUACGGUAGUUUUGAUUUGCUGAUGUCCAAGUUAGCUGAUGUUGCAAGUCAACUGGGUGAAACUAUGACUGGCUACAUUCAAUGAGGGUGAGAACUUUAAAAUACAAUUCCAAACAAAGCCUGGCCAUUGCCUACCCUCCCAAAAGUAAACCUCUCCGCGACCUGAUCCUUCUCUCUCAUCACUAAAACAGGUUUAUCACAUGGAAUGCAAGUGGGAGCAUGAGGGGAAACAGCAGAAAACACAACAUCAAGAAGGUUUGGAAGACAUGCCAAAGUGAAAAUGGUAGCCCAGGUGCAAAGCCAAAGCCACUAACAGCAUCCCACAAGAAAGCAGAUCAAGAAAUAGGGCUUUGAUCAAGAGAAUACUGGGAGGAGUGGUUUCCUGCUGUGGGAAGUGGGACCUGCAUCACAGUUACACUUGCUGGAGUUACAUCUGGACAGAUGGUGAGAACACAGCCAGAAGGAGAAACCUCUGGGUUUCCAAUAAAGCCUCUCUUCACUUUCAUGCCUUCACAAGUCUGUCAAUCCACAAAGCUGUCUGGAAGAAAGAGACAGGGAAGAGCUAUGUGCUUCAGUAGUAAAUGACCAACAGGUAAAGAGACACAGAAAAUUCAAAUCUGUACAAAUCAAAUGCUUUUGCCUAGACUACAAAAUGCACUCAGAUGUAUGUCUCCAUGUUUAACUGAUUCACCUUCAAACCCUCCAGAGAAACUUCAUGAGCUGAGGCAGGGGGCCAGGAAACUCCAGGGGUAAUUCUGGCCAUCCUGACAGAUGCUGCUCUGAGAAGUGUCUCAUUCAUCCAGGUAUUUCACAUGAAACUCAAAUGAGCUCACACUUUUCAGCAAUGAGUCACACACUCAUUUGGCAAAUACAAAGACUUCAGAGUCCCUCUCCCUCAUUCCCAGAUGCUGGAAAGUCACAAUUCUUUGAGUGUGAUGUCAGGAGGUGUUGCCAUGAAAACCCUUUUAAAAUCAUAAGCACUAAAUUGUAACUCCUUUUGCAUGGUAAAGGAUCACACAGGGGGUACUGCGGUUUGGAGGAAGAUAUCUUAUAAUUAGUGAUAAUAACAAAGGAAAUAUCCAUAAUUACAUCAAAGAAGUCUUCACUGAGUAUUGUUUUUACUUACUUCCAGAGGGAACACAUAAUUCUCUGAAAAAACAUGACUGUUUUAAGCAGAUGUAGAUAAAUAAAAAAGUGCUAUCAAGAGAAUCAAACUUCAAACUGAAGCCGGAAAAAUACUUCAAAAUGCACAAGAGGUUAUCUAAUCAAUCAGCUUAAAGGCCAGUCGUCAGCUCUCCGCCAACAGGCAGAGCUGCUAUGUCUGCAGUGUGUGCGCAUCUUUUCAGAUGAACACGGCACACUACAGCAUAUCCUGGGUGCGUGUAUCUGCAUACAGGAGGCACAGUCUGGGGAUUCAUUUCAUCCAGCCACACAAACAGGACUAAUUUUGUAAAGUGCAGAUAGCUAAAAAUAGCCAAGAGUGAAGUUAUGCAAUAAAACCUGGUGUACGUUUUCCCUUUCCAGAUGAGAGAAUCUGACAUAGUUUCAAAUAGAGAAUAAAUAAAUAAAUAAAUAAAGGCGAUGGUCUGAUCAGUGUAUAAACUAUAUUCAUUUCAUUCCCUUCUGCAGAGAAGGAAUUUGAAUCUCCUAUACAUUAAAGAUGCAUGCCCACUGUCAUAUCAUUUCAGCGACUUAAAUAGUAAAUGAUCAAAAAUUCACAGUGCUUCUGCCCUCCUCUGGAAAAAAAAUAGGUCAAAAAUGAAUGGAAACAAACUGUCUUCUGCUCCUUUUUUAUGCAUUUGAGAGAGGAAAAAACAAGGGAGAUAAAUCUGCAUAAUACUGAACCGAAUCUCUUUAAUUCCAGUCAGCUUUUAUCAUUCAAUCACUGAGUCUGUAUGUGGAAAAAUUCAUGCUAAUUCCCCCUAGCAACAGCCUCAGCCUAUCAGGACAAGCCAUGCACCAUGCAGCUGCCAGCCAGCAAGAAUAACUCUAAGUAGGUCAGGCCUGCAUUUCUAAAAAUGCCACGGUCUAGUAACCCCACUGUCCCGUCUGUCUGCCCUGCCCCAUAAUAACCUCAAUUGCUUGGUGACACAAUGACAUACUGCCCUGUUAGAGCGCAAUCAAAUCACGCUGCAUUAUUCUGCUGCGAGCAUCACUGCUGGAAGAAGGAGCCGUCGAGGGGCAGCAUUAAUCAGGCGGCCAUUCAUGUCCACCGGCACUUCACUCUGGAGAUGGGGCCUGCAUUAAUGACCAGCUGUUGGAAGGAACACAAACAAAGUAACGCCUUCCACCCUGCCGGCUGUGCAGAAUACGCCAUUCUGUUCAGGCAGGUUGCACUCAUUGACAGAGGCCGCGAUGUAAAUUAAACAGCCCCAGACAAUGCCGGCUUUUGUAAGCUCCUACUAAUUAAAGUAAGUAUAUUUAAAUUAUACUACACACAAUUCAAAGAGCUAUUGGUUUAAUAUACAGAGUCAUCUCCUCCUACAAAUUUGUGUUCACGGUCAGGGGAAAAAAAAAAAAAAAAAAAAAAAAAACAGAACCCACAACCACUGUUUGCAUAAUACAAUCUACCUAUCCUGGUAAAUUAAAGAGCAGCACAAAGAGCAGAACUGCAGCUGACUUGCACUGCGAGCAGGGAACCACACCAGGCUGCCAAAAACAGGCAGCAAUGCACACUGACUGGUGAAGGGCUGUCGAUAAAAGCCAUGUAAACAUCUCCAGCCACAGCACGGGGAAAGGCCGGUCAGAGCAGGGUAAGCACCCCUGCAAUCUCACCGCUUAAGUGCUGUGGAGCAGCCAGCCCAGACCGAAAAACAACAGCAGGGAUCAGAAAGCUCCAGCCAUGUCCCUGUGGAGUAGGCAGCCCAGCGCCGCAGCAUUCCCAAUGCACCCCCAGGACCACGUUUGGCUGCAAGAUGUUGCGCUAAGGCUUUUUUUGCACCAUCCCUUAACCAGAGAAGCCUUAAUAGAAACCACACCUGAGCGCAGUAGGUCUGCACUGGGGUGGUAUUUCAGCAUCAAAUCUGCAACGCCAGAGCUGAGUUUUGGUGUGCUGGCUCUUUGUGUUUAAUUUUAUGCGUGCUUUUAAACACCUUGGUGCGGCUGGCCAGUCGCUCCCUCCUAUGCCUCGUGGCACGCAGCUGCCUGUGCAAGAUGGAGACGGGAAUGACAUUUCCUAGGACAGAUGGCUUGUCUGCAUUUCUUCCGAAGGAUUCACACUUCCACUCGGUGAACGUGUGCCCUCUGACAAACCGAUAAUUCAGUCUUCACUUUUGCAGAGUGCAGCCAGUCUCAUACGUGUAAGCCAUCCAGCUCUGAUUUACGAAUGCAGCUGAUUCAUUAAUCCAUUUCGCUCUGUUGUUCAAAGCAGGCUCGAGAACCAGGUUAUGACUGCCUUCCUUUGCUUUGUGGCACACAUCACACAGCUAUUCUUGGAGAGAUACAGUCCCUGACGUAACCACGGGUUCCUAAUUACAAGCUGCUGACAUUUUGCAGCUUUGAAGCUAUGAGCUAAGAGCCACUCUUCCUCCUGCUCGCUCGCUUUAAAACAGCCUGAGUUAGAAGCACAGCAGUUUCAGAAAGGUGCAGGAGUGGUAUACACUUCUUUUCAGAGCCUGCUGUAUUGCCAAGGUUAUUUUUCUUUAAGAAAACACAAAACUACAGUAUGGGAGUAAUAAGACUCCUCUGCCCCCAGCACAAGAAUGUUACCCAGCAGCUGGCUAAAUAUAAUCCAACACACAGGGCAGCCUUUGUAGACAGGGUAACAAACAGUGGAAGGGCCAGACAGGCAUCUUGCAGGGUAGCCCACCAUGACUAUUGGGAAAUCCCCCCGUACGCAUUUUAGGAUGACAUUAUGGUCUACGGAUUUGUAUAAAAGGGGAAAAAAAAAAAAGAAUAGAAAAAAGAAACCUCUUUCUCAGUAGGCAGCUGCUAAAAGCCAUGCCAAACCCCACUAGCUGACUGCAGUACUUGUUUUCCCUAUUUUUGCAUUGUUCAGCUAUGGGCAACCUGAGCUGCCAGCUGAACUCAGUAUGCCAAGCACUGUGACAAGUCUCCCUGUUCUAAAAGCAUGGACUCCUCAAUGCAUGCGCAGAAAUAUAAACCAAACAGAUAAACAAAAAGAGCCCAAGCCAAUCAGAUGACAAUGACAAAAAACAAAAAGAAAACCAAACAGGUACAUUUCAGAAAAAUCUGCUGCUAGCUGCUGUCUCUUUUAAUAGAGGAAUAAUCAUUUUUUAAUUAGAGGCUGAUUUUAAAAUUCUAAAAAAAAAAAAAAAAAAAAAGAAAGAAAGAAAGAAAAAAGAAAUAUAAUCCUGACUAUAAAUGCUCAGUUGAGCAUUUAGCCAUCUGAUGACUGUGGUAGCCAGCUGGUCUAGAAGUCAUCUGGGAUGCAUUUAUUUUGAUUAGAUUGAUCACAUUUCUAUUUAGAACAUAGAAUUUUUUUGCCGUACUGAAUAUAGCUGUGUUCAUAAAGAUUGUAAGAUGGAGAAAAUGAUCCCCUCCCCCUUAGCUUCUCUCAACACAGUGCAGAAAAUUCAGUGCUCCAAGGUGUUAAACAGAAAGGAUCUGCUUUCAUAUUUCUUAGAAGAAUCCUGCCUACAUCUGCAUUCGCAAAGUGCUGCCUCACUCAGAAAUUGGGUGUAGAGCUAGAGCUGAAAAUACAAGCUGCAAUCAAGGCUGACCAUCAAAGUGACAAGCUUCCUCUGUAAAUUGGUCAGAAAUGUCUUUCUUUCAUGUCUGUACAUGCUCCCACACGCAUAAGCACACACACAUACAUAAGCACAUACAUACACAGCAUGGCCGCUGUUUUCCCUGGGGAUACUGCUGCAGCCACCUAGCUCAUCAGUUCCCUCCCUGACAGCAUCAGGAGUGUUCGAGCUACAAUUCAUAGUGCCUCUAUCCAUACAUUGUUUUCUUAAUCACACCAUCCUCUCCACACUGAGAAUGCACAGAAUCAGACAAACAGCACGCAGCGUUCCUUCUUCCACUGCAUUUGCACGCACUCUCUCGCUCGCUCUUCCUCCCGUGUCUUUGCCUUAGCAGGCAGAUACGACCAAUACCUUGUUUAUCCAUCUCCAGAACAACGCUGAGGUGCAACUCGACUGCAGUUCUGUGGCUUUCCCCAUCUUAAUCCUCUGGAGCAGCAGAGGCUGGAUUCUUGCUGCUGAUGCCCUUGUUGAGCACUGGAUUACUUUUCAUCAUAUUUCUUUAAGCUUUUACCCACUCCACCCUAGAUUAACAUCCCUCCUUUCUCUCCCCACCAAAAAAAAAAAAAAAAAAAGAAAACCCCCAAACAACCCCACAUCACAACCCUUUGCUUCCAGAACCAACAAAAAAAUUGCGGCUCCAUCGCUUCUCUUCCUUAGCAAUGUGCAGACGAGGGAGGCUCGCAUCAGCCAAGCUGGGGUGAAGCGCAGGCAGCGAGGCUGCAGCAGCAGCAGCAGAACCAGCAGCAGCCACCCAGGUAAAUGCGAAAAAGCAGGCUGUGUCGCAGUGCCGUAGCUGUGAGGAAAGAAUCUUGCUUCUUCUGAACAGUGCAGCUUCAUGCCUGCAGGAACGGAGAAGAGGGAAGACCCAGAAUUAAAAAUAGAAGCCAAAAUAGUUAAGAAGAAAUUAUGACUAUAAUAAAGGGCUGUAACUUUAUUUUCUGGGCUUUGGGGUUUUCCUAGGGGGGUGUCUUUCCCCCCCCUCCCCAAAGUCUCCUAUGUUGCUGGAUGUUACUGUCCAAGAGUGGAGUCACAAAGGCUCACCCUCCAAAGCGCAGCAAGACCAGCAUCACAUGAGAAACCACAUGAUGCACCCAAAUCGGAUGCUGAUGCGGUCCACUAUU
ensembl:lncRNA